rnacentral:lncRNA from 1 species
UUGGGAACAGUUAUGCCAGGUUUAUAUGCUAAGAAGAGAAGCCAGCUUCAAAUGACAAUUUCCUACCACAAGAACAUUUCUAAACAUGGGAACUGGUUUUGGCACUGACACAAGGAAAAGUUUAUAUGUUCUAAAGUGAAAGUUAAAAAGACCUUCUUGUUGCUGGACGUGCAAGAAGCAAUCAAAAGGAAAUCAUGUUGGACCCAUAGG